UACAGAGGUCUCGAGCGUUGUUCGGAUUCAUUGGGCGUAAAGGGUGCGUAGGUGGCGCUGUAAGUCGGGUGUGAAAUCCUGAGGCUUAACCUCGGAACUGCAUUCGAUACUGCGGCGCUUGAGGACUGGAGAGGAGACUGGAAUUCAUGGUGUAGCAGUGAAAUGCGUUGAUAUCGGGAGGAACACCAGUGGCGAAGGCGACUCGCUGGCUCGAACCUGACGCUGAGGUGCGAAAGCGUGGGGAGCAAACAGG
rnacentral:rRNA from 1 species